AUAGCGUAUAUUAAAGUUGUUGCAGUUAAAAAGCUCGUAGUUGAAUUUUGAUCUGGCUGAUAGUACGACCGCGAGGUCAGUAUCCUUGGCUGGAUCUUUCCUUCUGGAGAGCCAUUAUGCCAUUUAUUUGGUGUUUUGGGGAUCCAGGACUUUUACCUUGAAAAAAUUAGAGUGUUUAAAGCAGGCAUACGCUUGAAUACAUUAGCAUGGAAUAAUAGAAUAGGACUUUGGUUCUAUUUUGUUGGUUUCUAGGACCGAAGUAAUGAUUAAUAGGGAUAGUUGGGGGCAUUAGUAUUUAAUUGUCAGAGGUGAAAUUCUUGGAUUUAUGAAAGACUAACUAUUG
rnacentral:rRNA from 1 species